rnacentral:rRNA from 1 species
UGAACGCUGGCGGCGUGCCUAACACAUGCAAGUUGAGCGGUAAGGCCCCUUCGGGGGUACACGAGCAGCGAACGGGUGAGUAUCGCGUGGGUAAUCUACCUUGAGGUGGGGGAUAGCCUCGGGAAACCGAGGGUAAUACCGCAUGAGUCCUCAAUGACAUAAGUCGAUGAGGGGAAAGGCGGGGCUCCUUCGGGACCUGUCGCCUCUAGAUGAGCCCGCGUUCGAUUAGCUAGUUGGUGGGGUAAUGGCCUACCAAGGCAACGAUCGAUAGCCGGCCUGAGAGGGUGAACGGCCACAUUGGGACUGAGACACGGACCAGACUCCUACGGGAGGCAGCAGUGGGGAAUUUUGGGCAAUGGGGGAAACCCUGACCCAGCGACGCCGCGUGGAGGAUGACGGCCUUCGGGUUGUAAACUCCUGUCAGGUGGGAAGAAAAGCCAGUCGGAUAAUACCCGGCAGGAAUUGACGGUACCACCAAAGGAAGCCCCGGCUAACUCC